GACGAACGCUGGCUGCGUGCUUAACACAUGCAAGCCGAACGGAAAGGCCCUGCUUUUGUGGGGUGCUCGAGUGGCGAACGGGUGAGUAACACGUGAGUAACCUGCCCUUGACUUUGGGAUAACUUCUGGAAACUGGGGCCAAUACCGGAUAGUAGCUCCUGCUGCAUGGUGGGGGCUGGAAAGUUUCGGCGGUUGGGGAUGGACUCGCGGCUUAUCAGCUUGUUGGUGGGGUAGUGGCUUACCAAGGCUUUGACGGGUAGCCGGCCUGAGAGGGUGACCGGCCACAUUGGGACUGAGAUACGGCCCAGACUCCUACGGGAGGCAGCAGUGGGGAAUAUUGCACAAUGGGCGGAAGCCUGAUGCAGCAACGCCGCGUGCGGGAUGACGGCCUUCGGGUUGUAAACCGCUUUCGCCUGUGACGAAGCGUGAGUGACGGUAAUGGGUAAAGAAGCACCGGCUAACUACGUG
rnacentral:rRNA from 1 species